rnacentral:misc_RNA from 1 species
GAUGAAGAACGCAGCGAAAUGCGAUAAGUAAUGUGAAUUGCAGAAUUCAGUGAAUCAUCGAAUCUUUGAACGCACAUUGCGCCCGCCAGUAUUCUGGCGGGCAUGCCUGUUCGAGCGUCAUUUCAACCAUCAAGCCCCCGGCUUGUGUUGGGGACCUGCGGCUGCCGCAGGCCCUGAAAAGCAGUGGCGGGCUCGCUGUCACACCGAGCGUAGUAGCAUACAUCUCGCUCUGGGCGUGCUGCGGGUUCCGGCCGUUAAACCACCUUCAUAACCCAAGGUUGACCUCGGAUCAGGUAGGAAGACCCGCUGAACUUAAGCAUAUCAAUAGGCGGAGGA